rnacentral:rRNA from 1 species
AUGGAUUUAAACCCAUCGGUGACCUGCUGGAACGUCCGUAGCCUGAACAAUUCGGCAAAGCGAAAGGCGGUGAAGGAGUUCUUGGCCUCGUGCAGGCCUAACUUAGUGUGUUUGCAAGAAACGAAACUCGAUGUGGUAGAUGACUUCUUAUUAAUGCAAUGUUGUAGCCCGUCGUUGGACGGUUAUGCUUAUUUACCGCCGGAGGAGACGAGAGGAGGCAUUAUUUUGGCUUGGGACACCAUGGUAAUGCAGGUUGAUCACAUCCGGAGGGGCGCUAACUUUCUUAGCGGGUUGGUGCACCCCCAGGGGGGGCAACUAGUGGAUAUCAGUGGUUGGACCACAAGGCAACGAGGCCAAGAUGAAAUUCCUGGAUGA